GGCCUAGGGUGUGAUUGUUUGUUUGUGAUUGGCUGUGGUGAUCUUUGUUUUCGUGUGUGAGUGACGUGGGUGGGUGUUUUGGAUCAGGUUAGCCAUAUUGAUUUGUAUGCUGUUGGUGGAUUAUUGUCAUUGUCUUGUUGGGCUGUGUAUGUGAUAAAGGGGAGCCAUACCGGGGUGAAGGCGUCUUCUUCUGUUUGUCCCCGUGUCAGUUUCAGUUUAUUAGUUAAUUUUUCUAGUAGGGCUGUUUCCCAUACUAUUUGGUACCAUUGGUCCAUGCUUACUCCUGACAGGUGUCUCCAGUGUCUCGUUAUGGUGUUUCUGGCUGCUGAAAGUAGGUGGGUUAUGAAUUCCUUGUGGUGUAAAUGAGCUUUGUUGUCGUGGAAGAUGUUUAGUAGGGCCAAUUCUGGGGUGAUAUCUAAUACUUGCUUAGUUAUUUUACAUAUUUCUCGUAUGGCUGUUGUCCAGAAUAGCUGGAUUUUGGGACACUCCCACCACAUGUGGAGGUAUGUGCCUGUGGAGGUGCACCCUCUCCAGCAUUUUGGUGAGGUUCCUAGACGUAUUAGCGCUAGUUUCCUUGGUGUUAGGUACCACCUGUAGGUGAGUUUCAGUGUGAGUUCUUUUCUUUUCGUUGAUAUGGAUUUAAAGGGGGGUUUAGACCACAUUCUGGUCCAUUGAGUGGGGUUAAUCUCAUAGUCUAUGUCAUUCUCCCAUUGUUUUUUGAUUGCGUCUAGGGGGUUUGUGGGAUUUUGGAGUAGUAUUUUGUAUAUUGCAGAUACCGUCCCUUUACCAUUUCCCUUUGUUGUUAGGAGGAGGUUUUCAAAGGUUGUCAGGGGCCUAGUUGCUGCUAAUUUUACUGUUGGGUUGUUUAAGAGGGCAUGUAGUUGGUGUUGUGUUAACCAGGGCAUUUGAACGGAAAGUUCUUUUGAUAAUAUUUUUGUCUUGGUACCAGGAUUAAAGACUGAAUAUUUGCCUCCUGCAUUCACUGUUUUCUGCUGCCUGCUAAUUAAAGGUAAAGGUAAAGGUACCCCUGACCAUUAGGUCCAGUCGCGGACGACUCUGGGGUUGCAGUGCUCAUCUCGCUCUAUAGGCCGAGGGAGCCGGCGUACAGCUUCCGGGCCAUGUGGCCAGCAUGACUAAGCUGCUUCUGGCGAGCCAGAGCAGUGCAUGGAAAUGCCGUUUACCUUCCCGCCAGAGUGGUACCUAUUUAUCUACUUUCACUUGACGUGCUUUCGAACUGCUAGGUGGGCAGGAGCAGGGACCGAACAGCGGGAGCUCACCCUGUCACGGGGAUUCGAACCGCCGACUUCUGAUUGGCAAGCCCUAGGCUCUGUGGUUUAGACCACAGCGCCACCCAUGUCCCUGCCUGCUAAUUAAUCCUGGCUAAUUAAUAAAUACCUCCUGCUGCUUCCUGCUUCCACAUUCCAUCCUCACAAAGGGAAAAGUCAGGAUCAGAAAGUGGUUCUUCCUACCUUUACUUUGGUGUAUUCUGCAUAAGAUGCAUUGCAUAAAUGGCAAUGGGAAGCAGGGGAGGAAAUAUAUGCAAGUACUGUGCAGCAAACACUGCCCCAUGUGUGUGGUCUCCUUCACUGAAAUGUUCCAACUUUGCAACCCAUGAAUAUGGUGAUGUUGUCAAGUGUGUGGAUUCAUUUCAUAUUGGGAAUAUUUAAAAGAAUGGACACCAUAAAGUAGAUAAUUUUGUUACAAUUGCCAAGUUUCAAAGCAAAACCUGAGUUUGUGGGACAGCAGUUUAAUUAAUGUUAGUUGGCUUUACAGAACAGAGCAUUUGAUAGUGUGUGACAUUUUCUCUGCUAUGUCCAUAAAGCAAACUAAUCCCUAGUGUGGAUUUAUUUAAGCCUUUUUAUUAGGAGAGACUGUGUCCCCUUAACCUGCUGUACUAAGGUUCAUAGUUUCAAAAGAGUUAAUAGCAAGGCAUGCACACCUAUGUCAGACCUUCUGUUAGCCUUGCAGAAACUCUGCACCUCCGUUUCUUGUUAUUUUAGCUGAGAGAAAAGCCCAAACAGCUUAGGAAGGCAGGAAUAUUUGACAGGCAGCCAGGCAUUGUGUCAGUUUCAGGAGAGAAAUAGAUUUGGUAAUCUUUGUAAAGAAAUAGGAUGUUUUAAAACUGCUUAGGGUGCAACCUGUUUUAAAAAUGGUUAGGAUGGGAAUACGAAAAACUGAACUUGCCAUAUAUUGAAUGGUUUUAAGAUUAAAAGAGAAAGCCCACAAAUCUUUCCUCGGAAUGCCAGUCUGAGUGAUGAAAAUAUAUAAUCUUUGAUACCCUUGAGCAAAAAUGGAUGGCUAAGGCUUUAGUCCUAACCUCACUUACUUGGGAGUAAGCCCCACUGAAGUAAAAGGACUUGCUUCUAAGUAGAUAUAGUAUUGUGCUGUAAUUAAGAAACCAAAAAAUUAAUUCUUGCUUGUAGAAUAGCUUCCUUGUAUAUGAACAUUCUGGUGUACUGCUGCUCAUUGGGCUUCCCUCCCUUCAUCAGCAUUGUGCAGUAAUUCAAGGAUCUUCUCAGAUGUUUCAUAAACAAAUUCUAAUACUUCCUGAAGGGAAUUGCUUCCUUCAGUGGUUUAGGACUCCCCCAGGACAAUGAACAGAAAGAGACUUGUGUUCUUACAGCCUGCAACAGUUCUGCCUUUAUUCCAUUGUGCUUUUAUGAGUUCGGUUCACCUCUUCAGACUUUCACAUCACCUUCUCCUGCAACCUGACCCUUUUAAAACUUAAGAUACUAGGGACUGAACCUGGGACUUUCCAUGCAAAGCAUGUGCUUUCAACUAUCAUCCCUUCCACACUAAGCAGUUGCAAGACUGCAGUAGUUUGCUAACAAUCUGAGGGGUAAAUCAUAGCAGGGAAGUAGGAACAGGCUAUCCUAGCUGCUGGAAAUGGUGAACUCUCUGAAGAGUUUAUAAGACAAAAUACUGAAUCAAUAUAGAAAAGAACACUCAGUGUUAAAAUAAUAUCUAAUAGCUUUUGUUGAUUAGGGCCUAAUUGUUUGUAGCCUUUAUUUAUGAUGCUUUGAAAAGAAAUCUGAAAGCAUCAUGGAAACAAAUACAUCUAAGUAAACCACCACCCAUUAUUUUACUUGAUCAAAGUAAUGUAAUGACUGGAGACAAAGUAAUGUCUAUAAAAUGGCUGCUGAAGGAUGCUGUUGGUCUUCCGAAAUAGAGCUGGGUGGGAAAAGUCAAGUAGGAAACUAAGACAGAUGGACCCACCAAACAUACUUUGCAAGUUAAAAAUAUAUUGUACUGUGUGCCUACAUUGAUCUGGUAAUUUCAUGCCUAAAAGUUCCCUGUGGAAGAGUGGUUAACUGCAUCUGCUGGAAAUGACUUGACCCUGGCCUGUUAAGGGCACUGUGGAGGCCCAGUGAAACUCUAAUCAUGGCAGAGCACGUGGUGACAGUUUGAAUUCAUCUUUCUCCCUCUUCUGUAAUGAGGAAAAGAAACAGAUUCAUAUAACUGCCGCAUGAGAUGUAUCAUUCUGUCUUAAAACUGAAAUUCUUUUAUGAUUCAAAAUAAUUGGGGUUUGUUUGGGUUUUUUGGUUACUAGACCAAAAAGAAGAAGAGAGAUUUAAAGCACUUUAGAAAGUAUAUACUAAAUAAGCACAUCUAUUUUAUGUUAGAGUAAAAAGCUUUUUGACACAAAAAUGUUUCUUCUUCUAAUAGACUAAAUAUGCUGUGGAGAAUCCUUUGAUUCCAUUCAACUGGCAAAACAAAAUUAUUAUCUAAAUACAGAAACUUUAUCCAUUUAAAAGAGAAAAUUCCAUGAUUCAAAUAUAUUCUAUCAUGUAAGCUGGACAUAAAACAUUGUAAGUGAUGAAUGGUAACAUCACUUGCUAAUGACAGACAACUUUGGUCAAAUUUUUAAUGCCUUUUGCAUUGUUUAUUUCUUAAAGUUAUCUGAGUUUAUCAUCAGAUUUGAGAACACAAAGGAAGGGACUUCUGAGCAACAUUAAACUACAUUUUACAGAAGCAAAUAGAUUUCCAUUCCUCUUUUUAUUAUUUCUAAGGAAGAGUCUUUGUAAAAUUCUCAUAUAAUGUAUUCUUUUGUUUGGAAAGAUAGUUGGCAAAUAGAAUAUUUGAAGCCAAGGCACCUAACUGCAUGCAGAAGAAGCUCCUAGACCAGGGCUCACUUACAUUAGUAAAACUUAACAAACUACAGGUGUAUUUUGUUGUUGUUGUUGUUCAAACUGUAGCUGAUGUUGCUGAGAAAACAGAAUUGGACCUUAGUAUCUCUCUGUGUGUGUGUGUGUGUGUCCCAUGUGCUCCUAUAAAGAGAAUAACAUGGAAUCACUCCCACAUCUGUUUCCAUGGGAACAAUGAAAUGUGUUAGAUAAUCAUUCAUGGCUGUUUCUGUGAGUGCUGGAAAUUGUACCAUGAAAUUUGUCAAGGCUGAUAUCACAUGCAGAGACAACUCACUCCAGUUGAUGAUUUGCUGCUGUUUUAAUUGCUGUUUUAUUUCUGUUUUGAUUGUUCAACUGCUUAUUGUAUUUUAUUGUUUGAGUAUGUUGUAAAAAGCCCUGGAAUUAUUGAUGAAGGGCAGUAUAAAAAUCCUAUAGGUAGCUAAAUAACUCACUCACUCACUUCCUGUCUGUAAAGGUGUGCCCCUAUAGAAUGUGUAAACCAGAUCUGAAUCUUAGGAUUUAUUUUGUACACCCACACCAAAGAACUAUACAUAUUGGAAGCUGUGCACUUUCAUUUGAACUUCUGACUCUUAGUUAAGCUCCAUGUACUUACCCAGCAAACAUACUUCUAUAUUGAUUAUUUCAUUACAUAUGAGCAAGGCCGCUUGUGACUUCAGUCAAUGGCUGUUACUAAUCUCUGGUCAGCAAGCUGUGGCAGGAAGGUUUUCUGUUCAUCAAGUGAUGAUUAGAGAAUCUUAUUGUCUCCAUUCAGUAUUGUACCAUACCCUCACAGGUGUCUCCGCUAAGCAUUGAUAAAAGAUGGAAUUUUGUUUAGAGUUACUUUUUAAUAGCCAUGUUUAUUACACCACUGUAAUAGAAUCCUCCAGAAAACUGGUUUUUUAUAUAUCCGUUUUCUGGAGGAUUCCAUUACACAGAUGUAAUAUUAAACAUACAUUAUUUUAUAUUGAUAGAUAUAGAUACAAACAAAAAUUCAUGCAUGUGUGUGGUAUGUUAAGGAGAAUGUAACUUGUGUGGUUAAUGUGUAGAACAACCAGCCAUUGUGCACAUUCACCAGGCCCCAUGAAGAAUGUGCACAUAAUCCAUGAAGAAAGAAUUGUGGACAUUUCUCAGUAUAUGUACAUAAUCUGCAACAGGCCUUGGGGAAUGUGUAUGUUUCAACUUUCCCUCCCCUCCCACAAUUCUGAUAGAAAUCACACACACACCCCAUCCUGCCAUUAAGCCUAGGAACAAUGUACAAAAAGCUUAGGGAGAAUGUAGAAAAAUUAGCCAAUAUAUGCACAUUCCCCAAGACCUGUUGGGAGAUUGUCUAUUUUGAGCAGAAAAUGUGCACAAUGCCCUCUUUAUGUGUGCAUUCUCUAUGAGGCCUGGUGAAUGCACACAAUGACUGGUUGCUAUACACAUUAACUACUCAACUUACAUUCCCCUUAACUAAGACGGCGCAUGCACAUGCACUAGGUUGGAUUUUUGUUUUCUAUAAUAUUAGCUGGAAUUUUGUUCAUUAUAUUAUUUUAGGGGGGAAUAGUGGGCCUCACCACAGUAGCAGUGAUGCCACUUCGUUACUAGCACAAAUCAGCACUGAUUUUUUUUAAAAAAAACCCAAAUAUGAGGAAUGUUCUGCCUUUGUAAUGUUCAUAUGUAAUCUACUCUGCAGGCAUUGCAGGGUUAGGCAUGGAAUUUAGUUAGAACAGCUUUUCAGAUUAG
rnacentral:lncRNA from 1 species